rnacentral:rRNA from 1 species
GACGAACGCUGGCGGCGUGCUUAACACAUGCAAGUCGAACGGUGAAGCGCCUUCCUUUUUGGUGGGUGUGGAUGAGUGGCGAACGGGUGAGUAACACGUGAGUAACCUGCCCCCUUCUUCUGGAUAACCGCAUGAAAGUGUGGCUAAUACGGGAUAUUCUGGGUCUGUCGCAUGAUGGGUCUGGGAAAGAUAUUGUUUCGGUGGGGGAUGGGCUCGCGGCCUAUCAGCUUGUUGGUGGGGUGAUGGCCUACCAAGGCGGUGACGGGUAGCCGGCCUGAGAGGGUGGACGGUCACACUGGGACUGAGACACGGCCCAGACUGCUACGGGAGGCAGCAGUGGGGAAUAGUGCACAAUGGGCGAAGGCCUGAUGCAGCGACGCCGCGUGAGGGAUGGAGGCCUUCGGGUUGUGAACCUCUUUCGCCAGUGAAGCAGGCCUGCCUCGUUUGUGGGUGGGUUGACGGUAGCUGGAUAAGAAGCGCCGGCUAACUACGCG